rnacentral:rRNA from 1 species
AUUGAACGCUGGCGGCAGGCCUAACACAUGCAAGUCGAGCGCGCGGCGGACGGGUGAGUAAUGUAUGGGGACUGCCCGAUAGAGGGGGCUAACUACUGGAAACGGUGGCUAAUACCGCAUACUAUCGGAUAACCCAUAUGGGAUUAGCUAGUAGGUGGGGUAAAGGCUAACAUAGGCGACGAUCUCUAGCUGGUCUGAGAGGAUGAUCAGACACACUGUGAGUGAGAUAAGGCCCUGACUCCUACGGAGGCAUCAGGGGGGAAUAUAGCACAAUGGGCGCAAGCCUGAUGCAGCAAUGCCGCGUGAGUGAAGAAGGCCGUAGGGUUAUAAAGUACUGUCAGCAGGGAGGCGUUACCCGCAGAGGAAGCACCGGCUAACUCCGUGCCAGCAGCCGCGGUAAUAC